AGAGUUUGAUCCUGGCUCAGGAUGAACGCUAGCGGCAGGCCUAAUACAUGCAAGUCGAACGGUGUCUUCGGACAUAGUGGCGCACGGGUGCGUAACACGUAUGCAACCUACCUUACAUUGGGGGAUAGCCUUUCGAAAGGGAGAUUAAUACCGCAUAAGACAGUAGCUGGGCAUCCAGCAGCUGUUAAAGAUUUAUCGAUGUAAGCUGGGCAUGCGUCCAAUUAGCUAGUUGGUGAGGUAAUGGCUCACCAAGGCUAUGAUUGGUAGGGGAACUGAGAGGUCAAUCCCCCACACUGGCACUGAGAUACGGGCCAGACUCCUACGGGAGGCAGCAGUAGGGAAUAUUGGGCAAUGGACGCAAGUCUGACCCAGCCAUGCCGCGUGCAGGAUGAAGGCGUUAUGCGUUGUAAACUGCUUUUAUACAGGAAGAAACGACUCUUGCGAGAGGCAUUGACGGUACUGUAUGAAUAAGCACCGGCUAACUCCGUGCCAGCAGCCGCGGUAAUACGGAGGGUGCAAGCGUUGUCCGGAUUUAUUGGGUUUAAAGGGUGCGCAGGUGGUUUAUUAAGUCAGUGGUGAAAGACGGUCGCUCAACGAUUGCAGUGCCAUUGAAACUGGUAGACUUGAGUAAAGUAGAGGUGGGCGGAAUUGAUAGUGUAGCGGUGAAAUGCAUAGAUAUUAUCAAGAACUCCAAUUGCGUAGGCAGCUCACUUGGCUUUUACUGACACUCAUGCACGAAAGUGUGGGUAUCAAACAGGAUUAGAUACCCUGGUAGUCCACACUGUAAACGAUGAUAACUA
rnacentral:rRNA from 1 species